rnacentral:rRNA from 1 species
AUUGAACGCUGGCGGCAUGCUUUACACAUGCAAGUCGAACGGUAACAGGCCGCAAGGUGCUGACGAGUGGCGAACGGGUGAGUAAUGCAUCGGAACGUGCCCAGUCGUGGGGGAUAACGCAGCGAAAGCUGCGCUAAUACCGCAUACGAUCUCUGGAUGAAAGCGGGGGACCGAAAGGCCUCGCGCGAUUGGAGCGGUCGAUGUCAGAUUAGGUAGUUGGUGGGGUAAAGGCCCACCAAGCCAACGAUCUGUAGCUGGGCUGAGAGGACGAUCAGCCACACUGCGACUGAGGCACGGCCCAGACUCCUACGGGAGUCAGCAGUGGGGAAUUUUGGACAAUGGGCGGAAGCCUGAUCCGGCAAUGCCGCGUGCAUGAAGAAGGCCUUCGGGUUGUAAACUUCUUUUGUACGGAACGAAACGGUCCGGGUUAAUACCCUGGGCUAAUGACGGUACCGUAAGAAUAAGCACCGGCUAACUACGUGCCAGCCGCCGCCGUAACAC